rnacentral:rRNA from 1 species
CAGCCGCCGCGGGAAUACCAGCACCUCGAGUGGUCAGGAGGUUUAUUGGGCCUAAAGCAUCCGUAGCCGGUUGCAUAAGUUUUCGGUUAAAUCUAUGCGCUUAACGUAUAGGCCGCCGAAAAUACUGUGCAGCUAGGGAGUGGGAGAGGUACACGGUACUCGAUAGGAAGGGGUAAAAUCCUUUGAUCUAUUGAUGACCACCUGUGGCGAAGGCGGUGUACCAGAACACGUUCGACGGUGAGGGAUGAAAGCUGGGGGAGCAAACCGGAUUAGAUACCCGCGUAGUCCCUGUCUCUUAUAC